rnacentral:snoRNA from 12 species
AAAUGUUAUGAUGAUUGGCUGAAUGUGUUCAACUGCUCUGAGGUGUGACUGACAGCUGCCUUUCUGAACAGCA